rnacentral:precursor_RNA from 7 species
CCACCCCUCUGAGCUUUGGGAUCUGUGCUGGGACGGGGCUGGGAUCCAGGACCUGCUGCGGGCAUUGGAAGUGUUUUGGGUGCCAGCCCCGUUGCGGUGCAUCAUCCAUACGUCUGUCUCUAUAUA